UGAUCCGAAUCAAUGAAAGCAGCCUGUGGAGAGAUCAUCAAUACUCAAAUUUAUUUUGAAUUAAUUCAUCCAAAGCCAGAAACUUUCAAUUGAGAUUGAUACUAUGAUUGAAAUUAGCAUCUGUGGAACAGAAUCUGGAUUCAAAAAAAAAAAACUCGAGAAACAAAAAAAGUUCUGUUUUUUUUUUAAUAACACCGACACAGUAAAGAGAGAUCUCAGACUUCAUCACAGAACAAGAGAACAGUGGUUUUAUCCACAAAAUCGUAGCAUGUAACUCCUUUCUGAUUAGAUCUAAAAAUAGCAAAAAAUAUCUAAAAGCAAAGCCGAAUCUAAGAACACACCAGCAAAAAUGGCCGAGAAUCGAGAAUGCUUACCGUUACCGACAUUGUCGAAGUGA